rnacentral:ncRNA from 1 species
UCUAUCGUGAGGUAGAAUCUGAAGGAAGCCGGAGGCAAAUGCACGGGCCAAGGUAUACGAACUGGGUUUGAGGCAGGGUUAGUCGGAUGAGUUGCCAAUCCACAACGAAAUCCAAAGCCGCCAAGGGCCAACACUGUAAACCCCAGUGGUCGCGGGCAGACAGAUGACGUU